GAUGAAGAACGCAGCGAAAUGCGAUAAGUAAUGUGAAUUGCAGAAUUCAGUGAAUCAUCGAAUCUUUGAACGCACAUUGCGCCCGCCAGUAUUCUGGCGGGCAUGCCUGUUCGAGCGUCAUUUCAACCCUCAAGCUCUGCUUGGUGUUGGGGACCGGCCGCGGCCUCAGUGCUCUGCCGCCCCCUAAAUACAGUGGCGGUCCCGCCGCAGCCUCCUUUGCGUAGUAGUAAACCACCUCGCACAUGGAACGCAGCGUGACCACGCCGUUAAACCCCCAACUUUCUGAAGUUUGACCUCGGAUCAGGUAGGAAUACCCGCUGAACUUAAGCAUAUCAAUAAGCGGAGGA
rnacentral:misc_RNA from 1 species